AUCGCUUCUUGGCCUUUUGGCUAAGAUCAAGUGUAGUAUCUGUUCUUAUCAGUUUAAUAAAUCAAAACUCAGCACAAAACUGGAAAUAGCUACUUCAAGAGCACAACAAUUCUAUCUUUCUGCAAUGAGCCAAUAACAAGUGAGAAUUCUGUUUUUUUUUUAAGCAAUCCCAAUACAGAUCAUUUGAGGAACCCAGU